UUCGCCCUUUUCCGGUUGAUCCCGCCGGACCUGACUGCUAUCGGAUUGAUACUAAGCCAUGCGAGUCAUUGUAGCAAUACAAGGCAGACGGCUCAGUAACGCGUAGUCAACCUAACCUAUGGACGGGAAUAACCUCGGGAAACUGAGAAUAAUGCCCGAUAGAACACUAUACCUGGAAUGGUUUGUGUUCCAAAUGAUUUAUCGCCGUAGGAUGGGACUGCGGCCUAUCAGUUUGUUGGUGAGGUAAUGGCCCACCAAGACUAUUACAGGUACGUGCUCUGAGAGGAGUAGCCCGGAGAUGGGUACUGAGACACGGACCCAGGCCCUAUGGGGCGCAGCAGGCGAGAAAACUUUGCAAUGUGCGAAAGCACGACAAGGUUAAUCCGAGUGAUUUGUGCUAAACGAAUCUUUUGUUAGUCCUAGAACCACUAACGAAUAAGGGGUGGGCAAGUUCUGGUGUCAGCCGCCGCGGUAAAACCAGCACCUCAAGUGGUCAGGAUGAUUAUUGGGCCUAAAGCAUCCGUAGCCGGCUCUGUAAGUUUUCGGUUAAAUCUGUACGCUUAACGUACAGGCUGCCGGGAAUACUGCAGAGCUAGGGA
rnacentral:rRNA from 1 species